UGGCUGGGUUCAAGAGAGGUUUUAAUAGCUGGGUUCAAGAGAGGUUUUACUGGCUGGGUUCAAGAGAGGUUUUACUGGCUGGGUUCAAGAGAGGUUUUAAUAGCUGGGUUCAAGAGAGGUUUUACUGGCUGGGUUCAAGAGAGGUUUUAAUAGCUGGGUUCAAGAGGUUUUACUGGCUGGGUUCAAGAGAGGUUUUAAUAGCUGGGUUCAAGAGAGGUUUUAAUAGCUGGGUUCAAGAGAGGUUUUAAUAGCUGGGUUCAAGAGAGGUUUUAAUAGCUGGGUUCAAGAGAGGUUUUAAUAGCUGGGUUCAAGAGAGGUUUUAAUAGCUGGGUUCAAGAGAGGUUUUAAUGGCUGGGUUUACAAGAGGUUUUAAUAGCUGGGUUCAAGAGAGGUUUUAAUAGCUGGGUUUACAAGAGGUUUUAAUAGCUGGGUUUACAAGAGGUUUUAAUGGUACAUAUCUACUGAAUGUUGCUGUGUUACAUAUCUCCCUCCCCCAGCACCUGUCAGACCUGGAGACUCCCCCCUGAGCCUGACGGUGGAGCUGUGGGCCCUGCACCAGACCCCCACACCCCCCCACACCACCCACAGCAGGGGCAGGGCGUUGAGACUCCCCCCACAGGCUAAGACAGGGAGGGACUUGAAGAUCCAGGUUUUUGUCAUCUGCACAGGAAUUGACACUAUAGACAAUAAUUGACAAUAUAGUUUCCUUUUUUGUGUGUGCCCUUGAGCUGUCUCCUUUGUUGUAGAAAAAAAAUACUUGGCGAGGCUUUCAUAGGCGUUUUGGGCAUUUCCAGGGGUAGUUUAAUGACCCUGGUGGUAGUCUGACCCUUCCUCUGUGCAAUGAACUUGAAAAAAACGCUCAUAAAAAUGCAGAUAUUAACCCAGUAGCAGCGGGGAUCAUGUUUCUUAAUGGUCCCUCCAAGCGAGAAAAAUGAGAAAAAAUCGCCCCUCACACAAACCAUUUCAUAUAUAUCAAAGCAUUUGCGAUUAGAUUAUGUAUCAUCUAUUUUUGGGGGUUUAUAUCAUGGUACAAAUUUGGCCUGUCGCUGCUACAUGGUAAAGCCACAAAUUUGGCCCAUCACUGCUACCAGGUUAACCUCAUUAUCGUGUUAAAAUCCCUGUAUCUUACUGUUAUCUUCCUCUCCCUCUAUAUUAUUUAUCGAUCUCUCUCUUUCUCUCUCUCCCACAGAUGUCUAAGGUUUCGCCCAUGCAGCUGAAGGGUGCCAAUGCCUACACAUGCAUCGACCACAGGUGUGCGCUGGACAUUGCCUACAAUUCAUGGUGCAAAUGGGAGCGUCAGCGGAGAUUGAGCUGGCGGAAGGUUGGCGGCCGGGUCAAGCUCGCCUCGGACAAGGAGUUCUGUGAGAUGUGCUCGGCGGAUGUUGUUGACCUCGAAUACAUCAAUCUUACUAAGGUGGAGGAGGUGUGGGACUACAUCUACAUUGACGACGGACUCAAGGAGAUCCCUGAGACUACUAUUAUUACUAUUACUACUAUGUGUACUAUUAAAUCCUCUAU